rnacentral:tRNA from 1 species
UAGGACUGUAGUUAAUUAUAACAUUUGGUUUGCAUUCAAAAGGUAUUGAAUAUCAAUCUGUCUUA